UGCUGCGCAACUUUAAGAAUACGCUUUCAAGUUAAACUUUUCAAGUUCCGUUCUUAUCGUACGAAAGAUUUUGUUAAAAUUGAAGUUUUAAUCCGCUGCACUAAUUCACCCCCCCCCCUCUUAGUGCCGCUCCGAUCCUAACAAGUGGUAUCAGAGCCAGGUUAUCUCUCAUAUUUGGUUUAAUACCCAAGAGAGAUGGCUUACUCCGGCAUGCAAGAGGGCCAUUCUAUUGCACGACCACCUUUGUUUAAUGGGUCGG
rnacentral:lncRNA from 1 species